rnacentral:rRNA from 1 species
CCUACGGGUGGCAGCAGUAGGGAAUAUUGCUCAAUGGGGGAAACCCUGAAGCAGCAACGCCGCGUGGAGGAUGAAGGUUUUAGGAUUGUAAACUCCUUUUGUGAGAGAAGAUAAUGACGGUAUCUCACGAAUAAGCACCGGCUAACUCCGUGCCAGCAGCCGCGGUAAUACGGAGGGUGCAAGCGUUACUCGGAAUCACUGGGCGUAAAGAGUGCGCAGGCGGGCUUGUAAGUCAGUAGUGAAAUCCUGGAGCUGAACUACAGAACUGCAAUUGAAACUAUGAUUCUAGAGUGUGAGAGAGGAAGGUAGAAGUCGUGGUGUAGGGGUAAAAUCCGUAGAUAUCAAGAGGAAUACUGAUAGCGAAGGCGGCAUACUGGAA